rnacentral:rRNA from 1 species
GUGUCAGCCGCCGCGGUAAUACGAGGGGAGCUAGCGUUGUUCGGAAUUACUGGGCGUAAAGGGCGUGUAGGCGGUACCAUAAGUCAGAUGUGAAAGCCCUAGGCUUAACCUAGGAGGUGCAUUUGAUACUGUGGAACUAGAGAUCGAGAGAGGUAAGUGGAAUUACGAGUGUAGAGGUGAAAUUCGUAGAUAUUCGUAAGAACACCAGUGGCGAAGGCGACUUACUGGCUCGAUACUGACGCUAAGGCGCGAAAGCGUGGGGAGCAAACAGGAUUAGAUACCCUGGUAGUCCACGCUGUAAACGAUGAGUGCUAGAUGUUGGUGAAGGAAUUCAUCAGUGUCGCAGCUAACGCAUUAAGCACUCCGCCUGGGGAGUACGGUCGCAAGAUUAAAACUCAAAGGAAUUGACGG